CCUACGGGAGGCAGCAGUGGGGAAUCUUGCGCAAUGGGCGAAAGCCUGACGCAGCCACGCCGCGUGAGGGAUGAAGGCUUUCGGGUUGUAAACCUCUUUCAGCAGGGACGAAAAUGACGGUACCUGCAGAAGAAGCUCCGGCCAACUACGUGCCAGCAGCCGCGGUAACACGUAGGGAGCAAGCGUUGUCCGGAUUUAUUGGGCGUAAAGAGCUCGUAGGCGGUUCGGUAAGUCGGGUGUGAAAACUUGAGGCUCAACCUCAAGAGGCCACUCGAUACUGCUGUGACUAGAGUCCGGUAGAGGAGUGUGGAAUUCCUGGUGUAGCGGUGAAAUGCGCAGAUAUCAGGAGGAACACCGACAGCGAAGGCAGCACUCUGGGCCGGUACUGACGCUGAGGAGCGAAAGCAUGGGGAGCAAACAGGAUUAGAUACCCUGGUAG
rnacentral:rRNA from 1 species